rnacentral:rRNA from 1 species
GAACGAUGAACCUCCUUCGGGAGGGGAUUAGUGGCGAACGGGUGAGUAACACGUGGGCAAUCUGCCCUGCACUCUGGGACAAGCCCUGGAAACGGGGUCUAAUACCGGAUACGACUCGGGAGGGCAUCCUUCCGGGUGGAAAGCUCCGGCGGUGCAGGAUGAGCCCGCGGCCUAUCAGCUUGUUGGUGGGGUGAUGGCCUACCAAGGCGACGACGGGUAGCCGGCCUGAGAGGGCGACCGGCCACACUGGGACUGAGACACGGCCCAGACUCCUACGGGAGGCAGCAGUGGGGAAUAUUGCACAAUGGGCGAAAGCCUGAUGCAGCGACGCCGCGUGAGGGAUGACGGCCUUCGGGUUGUAAACCUCUUUCAGCAGGGAAGAAGCGCAAGUGACGGUACCUGCAGAAGAAGCGCCGGCUAACUACGUGCCAGCAGCCGCGGUAAUACGUAGGGCGCAAGCGUUGUCCGGAAUUAUUGGGCGUAAAGAGCUCGUAGGCGGCUUGUCGCGUCGGAUGUGAAAGCUCGGGGCUUAACCCCGGGUCUGCAUUCGAUACGGGCAGGCUAGAGUGUGGUAGGGGAGAUCGGAAUUCCUGGUGUAGCGGUGAAAUGCGCAGAUAUCAGGAGGAACACCGGUGGCGAAGGCGGAUCUC